CUUUAAUUAGGAGAUAAUUGAGUCAAGCACUAUAGUAAACUCAAUUAUCUCCAAACACAAAAAAACACACAUUUCUAAAAAGUCCCCAAAGUACCCCAAAACACAUAACAUCCCCUGAUAGCACUGAUCUGGGUAACCAACAUAUCCAAAAACUACAAAGAUCUGUUCAGGGGUUUAGAAAUUCUAUAGAAGUCAUUUAUA